rnacentral:rRNA from 1 species
UACGAAGGGGGCUAGCGUUGUUCGGAAUUACUGGGCGUAAAGCGCGUGUAGGCGGGUCUUUAAGUCAGGGGUGAAAUGCCAAGGCUCAACCUUGGAACUGCCUUUGAUACUGGAGACCUUGAGUCCGGGAGAGGUGAGUGGAAUCGCGAGUGUAGAGGUGAAAUUCGUAGAUAUUCGCAAGAACACCAGUGGCGAAGGCGGCUCACUGGCCCGGUACUGACGCUGAGGCACGAAAGCGUGGGGAGCAAACAGG